AUGAGAAAAACCAAACCCCUUUUCACCCUUCUCAACAACAACCAUUACCAUAACCAAAACCACAAUCUUUUUCACCUUCUCCCAAAACCCUUUUCUUCUCUCACCCAACAACCCCACCUCGUUUCACACAUCUUCACCCUCCUCUCCCAACCCCAAUGGCGAAAAAACCCUUCCUUUAACACCUUAAUCCCUUCCCUAACCCCAACCCAUCUCUCCACCCUCUUCAACCUCGACCUCCACCCUCUCACAGCGUUAAACUUCUUCAAAUGGAUCAACCACCAACACGGUUUCAUCCACACUGUCCACUCCUACCAACCCCUCCUCUUCAUUCUAGUCCGAAACGGGUUCCUUCGCGCUGCGGAGAAUAUUCGAAACUCCAUGAUUAAAUCAUGUGAAUCCCCACAAGAUGCAAGUUUGGUUUGGUUGAUGAGUUGA